UACGUAGGGUGCGAGCGUUAAUCGGAAUUACUGGGCGUAAAGCGUGCGCAGGCGGUCUGUUAAGACCGAUGUGAAAGCCCCGGGCUCAACCUGGGAAUGGCAUUGGAAACUGGCGAGCUGGAGUGUGGCAGAGGGGGGUGGAAUUCCGCGUGUAGCAGUGAAAUGCGUAGAGAUGCGGAGGAACACCGAUGGCGAAGGCAGCCCCCUGGGCCAACACUGACGCUCAGGCACGAAAGCGUGGGGAGCAAACAGG
rnacentral:rRNA from 1 species